UUUUUUUUUUUUUUUAAAAGAUUUAUUUAUUCAGAGAGAGCGCAAGAGAGGCAGAGACACAGGCAGAGGGAGAAGCAGGCAUCAUACAGAGAGCCUGAUGUGGGACUUGAUCCAGGGUCUCCAGGAUCACACCCCGGGCUGCAAGCGGCGCUAAACUGCUGCGCCACCAGGGCUGCCCUUCCACAGUGUUUUUAAGCCCCAAACACAUACUUAACCAGAUGUUCUUUUUCCUGAACCUUUAGCCUUUUAUUUUUCCCUUUGUCAUAGAAACAUUUAACCUAUUAUGGUAUCUGUUUGGCAUAUUCCUAAACCUGGUGACUGCAACCUCCUGGAAUGUAAGGAUCAAAGGUCAUGGUCAUUUUUAUAUCCCCUGCAAUGCUCAGCACAGUGUUUUUCUCCCAUAGUGGUUACUAAGUAAAUAUUUAUUAACUAAUAACCUCUUAGUUUUGUUUUCACUCUCUCUGUACUAUUACUUUUCCAAUCAGUAAAAACUGUUUGUUGGAUGUGUUUUAUGCUCUCUUUAUAGCUUCCUCCACCUAUACACAUUGCAUAAAAGUACUGAUGAAAGUUUAGUUACUUAAAAAAAAAAUAAAUUUCCUUUUCAAUCUUCAGGGAUCACCAGCACCUUGUCAACAGUCCACCAAUGAUGUAAUUCUACUUUUCUAGAGAUGAGUUCUGUGAAAGCUUUUUUGCAAACAUUUUCUGCAUAACUUAAUGGUAAUUUUGUUGUUGGUAGAGGUAAGAAUGUCUAGCUUACAACUAACUAUUCCUAACAUUCCCCUACUAAACCGUGAAACCUGCUCUUACAUUAAAUUGUGUAGAUGAAUGACCAACAAUUGGGAAGGGUAUGUAACGAAAAGAACUUGUUAAAAUCUACUUUCUUCUAAUAAGAGCACACUAAAAAUUUUAAAACUGUUGCUGAUCAAACUUUACUGUGGUUACAUUUGUAUAUUAGCGCAUUGACUAACAAAGCACUCAAGUGGAUAGGUAUGCUACAUGGGGAAAGCCAAGAACCAGGCAGUCCCCAGUACCACAUAAGUAGCCCUCUUUUGUAUAUAUAAAACUCUCAAGGAAAAAAAAAAAAUGAUUGUCCACUUAAAUCAGAAGGCCCUUGAGGACCAAGACUGUCUUUAAUCUGCUUGUCUCUCCCAGGGCCCAGCAGAAUAUCUGGUACUUCUAAGGACCACUGGGUGAAUGAAUGAAUGAAUGACUAGUGAUAUUUUACUACAUUACCCAGAUAGAUCUGAUUCAUAAUCCUUUAGCACCAUUGACAAAUAUCUAGUUUCAGAUUCUUAAUUUAUCUGAUGUCUUAGUCUAUUCAGGCUACCAUAACAAAAUACUGCAGUCAGGGUGGCUUAUAAACAACAAAUAUUUAUUCUUCAUACUUUUAAAGUCUGUGAAGCCCAAAAUCAAAGUAAAAGCAUGGUCAUGUUUUGGUGAGGGCCUUCUUUCUGGGUUAGUUGACAACUUGUCACCAUUUCCUCUCAUAAUGGAAGGGCUAGGGAUCUCUCUGGGAACUCUUUCAUAAGGCAUUAAUCUUAUUCAUGAAGGCUCUCCUCCUCAAUGUAAGCAGUUCCCAAAGUUCCCACAUCCUAACACCAUCAUCUUUGGAUCUGGGAUUCCCUCAAGAGCUGAGUUUUGUCAGGGUUAUAGGGUUUUAGCUAACAUAUGGAAAUGGAAAAGUUGAUACCUACUGAUCAUUCCUUUAGCUAGAUCAUAACAUUUCAUUCAGUUAACACCUACAGGCUCUCUGACUUCUGUGUUACCUGAGAUCAGGUUAAAUCCAAUAGGGAAGCUACAUUGUAGUCCAGUUCCCAUCUUCCAAACUGUGGACAGGCCUACAAAGUUCAUGAGUUCCUAAAAUUAACCUACGCAUGAAAGAUUUAGAGUGAGGGCACUCUUUCGUUCGUUCUUACCUCCACUAUGAUCCUA
rnacentral:lncRNA from 1 species